rnacentral:rRNA from 1 species
AUUGAACGCUGGCGGCAUGCUCUACACAUGCAAGUCGAACGGUAACAGGCCGCAAGGUGCUGACGAGUGGCGAACGGGUGAGUAAUGCAUCGGAACGUGCCCAGUCGUGGGGGAUAACUACUCGAAAGAGUAGCUAAUACCGCAUACGAUCUAUGGAUGAAAGCGGGGGACCGUAAGGCCUCGCGCGAUUGGAGCGGCCGAUGUCAGAUUAGGUAGUUGGUGGGGUAAAGGCUCACCAAGCCAACGAUCUGUAGCUGGUCUGAGAGGACGACCAGCCACACUGGGACUGAGACACGGCCCAGACUCCUACGGGAGGCAGCAGUGGGGAAUUUUGGACAAUGGGCGCAAGCCUGAUCCAGCAAUGCCGCGUGCAGGAAGAAGGCCUUCGGGUUGUAAACUGCUUUUGUACGGAACGAAACGGCUCUGGUUAAUACCCGGGGCUAAUGACGGUACCGUAAGAAUAAGCACCGGCUAACUAUGUG